CCCUUUUCCCUUCCCAAUAAGUAAAUACAACAGGCUACGCGUUUCUAUUAUUGUAAUUUAUUGCAUUGUGUUGGGAAGCCUUAACUCCAUGGUAUCAAAGAUGAUCCAGCACCUGAAAGGAAUCUCAAAAAAUGAACUGAAAGAUGGUUCAGGAGAAUCAAAGGGAGGUUUCCAAUCGCCCCUUNCCCCUUAAACCCCACUACUCUUGCAGUCCUGAUCCAUUCAGCUCGCGGAGGACUACACAGCCCCUGCCAAUAACGACUCAAGUACAUUGGAAAACAUCGCGUUUCUUCCCACCUGUAAUUUUCUCCCACAAUCACCUGUAAUAAACUUGGAGGAGAAUGUAAGCAGGAGGCGCUAUAGCUCAGCGGUAGAGCAAUCUACCGGGAAAGAAGAGGGUCUCCGGUUCGAGCCCCAGCCUCUCCGUGGCAGUAGACAAUAACACACCCCACUUCUGUAUCUCUGCCGAGAAAACUGCAUAGAACUGCCCUUGGAGGUGCCUAUGCAAUCAACCAGGAGUCGUCCAGGACUCGGUGGUACCCAACAACAACAAAAAAUCCCGAGGGCGCCUUGUUGGCGUGCAUCAGCAACUUUACCCAAAGAUGCAUCGCGCCGCAGCACUCGGGAAUCAUGGACUCUACCGUGGCCCUCCUGGCAAAAAACUGCGANGGCUAUUCUCCGCCGAACAAUGGAUCUCAGGANAUUCAAGUCACUUUUAACGCUUUCAGAAAGUGCCAGCGGCAGAGAAAAAAUAAGCCAUGCGGAAAUUCCAUAAUUUCGGAACUCAAAGAAAUGUGGGACAGUUACCUCAGAAGUAUAUCACUUUAAAGUUUGAAAGUGUACUAGAUAGCAUACAUUUUUUAAGUUUUAUGUUUUUGUACUGAUAUUUAUUCUGUGUCUCUUUAAAAUGUAUGUCCUUAAAUGAUUUUAUACAAAAAUAAAUACAUCUACAUUUAAAU
rnacentral:lncRNA from 1 species